AUACGUAGGGUGCAAGCGUUAAUAGGAAUUACUGGGCGUAAAGCGUGCGCAGGCGGUUUUGUAAGACAGAGGUAAGAUCCCCGGGCUCAACCUGGGAACUGCCUUUGUGACUGCAAGGCUAAAGUACGGCAGAGGGGGAUGGAAUUCCGCGUGUAGCAGUGAAAUGCGUAGAUAUGCGGAGGAACCCCGAUGGCGAAGGCCAUCCCCUGGGCAUGUACUGACGCUCAUGCACGAAAGCGUGGGGAGCUAACAGGAUGAGAUACCCUGGUAGUCCACGCCCUAAACGAUGUCAACUGGUUGUUGGGUCUUCAUUGACUCAGUAACGAAGCUAACGCGUGUAGUGGACCGCCUGGGGAGUACGGCCGCAAGGGUGAAACUCAAAGGAAUUGACGGGG
rnacentral:rRNA from 1 species